rnacentral:rRNA from 1 species
AGUGAACGCUGGCGGUAGACCUAACACAUGCAAGUCGAACGGCAGCACAGUAAGAGCUUGCUCUUACGGGUGGCGAGUGGCGGACGGGUGAGGAAUACAUCGGAACCUACUUUUUCGUGGGGGAUAACGUAGGGAAACUUACGCUAAUACCGCAUACGACCUACGGGUGAAAGCAGGGGAUCUUCGGACCUUGCGCGAUUGAAUGAGCCGAUGUCGGAUUAGCUAGUUGGCGGGGUAAAGGCCCACCAAGGCGACGAUCCGUAGCUGGUCUGAGAGGAUGAUCAGCCACACUGGAACUGAGACACGGUCCAGACUCCUACGGGAGGCAGCAGUGGGGAAUAUUGGACAAUGGGCGCAAGCCUGAUCCAGCCAUACCGCGUGGGUGAAGAAGGCCUUCGGGUUGUAAAGCCCUUUUGUUGGGAAAGAAAAGCAGCAGGUUAAUACCCCGCUGUUCUGACGGUACCCAAAGAAUAAGCACCGGCUAACUUCG